AUUUUAAAAUGUUGCCAUAGAUCCAAAGCCGUCUUCAUCUUUCUCUUAUUUCCGUCCGUCGGCGAAAAAAAAUCCACUUAAGAGGCUCCAAACCAAGAAACGAGAAGGUGAUUUGGAGAAGAAAAAAAAGAAGAACAGAAAGAACGUGAAGACGAUUUAGAGAAAAAGAAAAAAGAAGAGCGGAAAAAGUUAUUCGGAAAAGCAAUCAAAGUUCCAAAUUCAUUUGAGAAAGAUUUGCAUUGUCUGGGCAAAAAGUGUCUGAGCGAUCCAGUUAGUAAACCGGCUAUUACUAAACACCUUGAAAAAGCGGGACUAUGGGGUCGUACUACUACGUUUUUAGAAAAUGAUGACAAGCUAUCGGUGAAAAACAAAAUUGAACAGACAUUCCCGGAGUUGAAAGGCGGAUUUAAAAUGUUGAAAUGCAACAAAAACGGAAAAAGCUUAUUCCCUAUAGGAGAUGGGCCUCUUGUUGAUGGAAUAACGCUUAAAGCCGUAACUACUAGAAAGAUUUAUCUGUGUCCAAUUCAGAAGGACAUAGAUGUGGACGAAGCAAGCUCUUCUGGAUCGUCUGGUGAAGAAGAUGAGUGCAAUGAGGAAUGUUUAGUAUGUGGAGAGUUAGUUCCGCUAACGUUGUUGACAAGUCAUGCUAAAAAUGCACGGUGAAACAAGUUGAGGAUGAUUGGGACAACUUCAGUACUUAUGAUAACGAUAUGAAUAAUUGGGAACCUCAAGCUUUUUUACCUGCGGAAGCUUUGAUAAAAUUUGAAGAACAUCGUGAACGCAUAAUGGAGUAUUCCGAUCAAGAGGCCUACUUAAAUCUUGAAGAAAAAUCCAAUCGGAUUAGUAUUACUCGAGGUGCGUAUGUAACUGAUUUGAUGACGGCUUCAAAGAAUCCUGU